GACGAAGGUGGCGAGCGUUGUUCGGAAUCACUGGGCAUAAAGCGCACGUAGGCGGUGCCGUAAGUCAGAUGUGAAAUCCCUCGGCUUAACCGGGGAACUGCGUCUGAUACUGGAUGGCUUGAGUUUGGGAGAGGGAUGCGGAAUUCCAGGUGUAGCGGUGAAAUGCGUAGAUAUCUGGAGGAACACCGGUGGCGAAGGCGGCAUCCUGGACCAACACUGACGCUGAGUGAGCGAAAGCCAGGGGAGCAAACGGG
rnacentral:rRNA from 1 species